rnacentral:rRNA from 1 species
AGUGAACGCUGGCGGUAGGCCUAACACAUGCAAGUCGAACGGCAGCACAGUAAGAGCUUGCUCCUACGGGUGGCGAGUGGCGGACGGGUGAGGAAUACAUCGGAAUCUACUUUUUCGUGGGGGAUAACGUAGGGAAACUUACGCUAAUACCGCAUACGACCUACGGGUGAAAGCAGGGGAUCUUCGGACCUUGCGCGAUUGAAUGAGCCGAUGUCGGAUUAGCUAGUUGGCGGGGUAAAGGCCCACCAAGGCGACGAUCCGUAGCUGGUCUGAGAGGAUGAUCAGCCACACUGGAACUGAGACACGGUCCAGACUCCUACGGGAGGCAGCAGUGGGGAAUCUUGGACAAUGGGCGCAAGCCUGAUCCAGCCAUGCCGCGUGGGUGAAGAAGGCCUUCGGGUUGUAAAGCUCUUUUGUUGGGAAAGAAAAGCAGCAGGUUAAUACCCCGCUGUUCUGACGGUACCCAAAGAAUAAGCACCGGCUAACUUCGUG